rnacentral:rRNA from 1 species
GACGAACGCUGGCGGCGUGCUUAACACAUGCAAGUCGAACGGUAAGGCCCUUCGGGGUACACGAGUGGCGAACGGGUGAGUAACGCGUGGGUGAUCUGCCCUGCACUUCGGGAUAAGCCUGGGAAACUGGGUCUAAUACCGGAUAGGACUCCUGGCUUCAUGGUUGGGGGUGGAAAGCUUUUGCGGUGUGGGAUGGGCCCGCGGCCUAUCAGCUUGUUGGUGGGGUAAUGGCCUACCAAGGCGACGACGGGUAGCCGGCCUGAGAGGGUGACCGGCCACACUGGGACUGAGAUACGGCCCAGACUCCUACGGGAGGCAGCAGUGGGGAAUAUUGCACAAUGGGCGCAAGCCUGAUGCAGCGACGCCGCGUGAGGGAUGACGGCCUUCGGGUUGUAAACCUCUUUCAGCACCGACGAAGCGCAAGUGACGGUAGGUGCAGAAGAAGGACCGGCCAACUACGUGCCAGCAGCCGCCGUAA